rnacentral:rRNA from 1 species
UACGGGGGGGGCAAGCGUUGUUCGGAAUUACUGGGCGUAAAGGGCGCGUAGGCGGCCUUCUAAGUCGGACGUGAAAUCCCUCGGCUCAACCGAGGAACUGCGUCUGAUACUGGAUGGCUUGGAUUCGGGAGAGGAAUGCGGAAUUCCAGGUGUAGCGGUGAAAUGCGUAGAUAUCUGGAGGAACACCGGUGGCGAAGGCGGAUCUCUGGGCCGUUACUGACGCUGAGGAGCGAAAGCGUGGGGAGCGAACAGG